rnacentral:lncRNA from 1 species
AUGCUCCGUUGCACGUUCAUUUUUAGAAUCCGUGGCUGCCCUCUCUCCCUCCCUCCCUCGCCCGAGCGGGCUGUGCCUGUGCUACCGAGCAACCCCCUUAACGGCGCAGGAGAGGAGGGCGGCUUGUGCAUCUUCCCGAGCGGAGCGCGCCGGGGGGGAAGAGCGUCCACCUCGGUGACGUCAGUCCACAGAUGGAGCUGGCAGUGUCGCUGGUCUGUGUCCCCAGUGCCUGGGGACCUCAACCAAGCCCUGAACUGCGUUACCUCCCCGGGCCUGAUGUCUACCACCUCGAUCCAUUUCCACGAUUCCAGCAAGGAUUGUGUUCCCAGAGCACCACUCCAACCAAGCCGCUGUCCUGCUUAAAAUCGAUCCGUGGCUCCCCGACGCCAGCUGAGCUGCGCCCGGGCCCCCUGAGAUGGCACUCCACUCUUGGUGACCCCUGGCUUUGAUUUCCAUUGCCUUGAAUUGAGUCUCCCUGCGCCACUCUUCGUGGAAUUCUCAGAGCAACUCGGUCUCCGAGAAACCACGGUCGAAUAGCUCGAGACGGAAGUCACCGUGGCCUCCUCUGACCCUGUCAAGGGGUUCCGUGCUGCUCUCUGACUCACACACCACCACCGGCCUCACCACCACUGUUCUCAUCUGAAUGCCUGUGUCCCCCCAACCCCCCACCCCCCAGCAAAUUUCUGUGUUGUAACCCGAUCCCGAUGCGACGGCAUUUGGACACAGUGCUUUCUGAAGGUAAUUAGGUCAUGAGGGGGGAGUCCUGGCGGUUGGGAUUAGUGCCUUAUAAAAAAGGCCCCUGGGACAUCCCUGACCCUUCUCCAUCCCUGAGACGACGCAGUCUUAGAAACAGGACGCGGGCUCUCACCGGACAUCAAAUCUGCCAAUACCUAAUCUUGGAUUUCCUGACCUCCAGAACUGUGAGAGAUAGAUUUCUGUUAUUUAAGCACUCAGAACUGAUUUAGACAACCACCACCACCAUCAGUCAUCAUCACUGCUUCUCUCUUUAUUUACCGUUAUUUUAAUACGUCUUUUCUGUCAUUCCUGGCUGAAUGCCCUCACCUUGAGGGCAGAGUUAAAUCUGCGUGGUCUUUGUUGUUGUUGUUUUUUUAAUGUUUAUUUAUUUUUGGGAGCGAGAGCGAGAGCGAGAGACAGAGCAUGAGCAGGGGAGGAGCAGAGAGAGAGGGAGGCACAGAUUCCAAAGCAGGCUCCGGGCUCUGAGCUGUCAGCACAGAGCCCGACGUGGGGCCCGGGCUCACGAAAGCAAGUUCGUGACCUGAGCCCAAGUCGGAUGCUUAACCGACUGAGCCACCCAGGCGCCCCUCUGUGUGGUCUUUGUAUCCAGUCCCAAUGCCCAACCCAG